rnacentral:tRNA from 1 species
UAGGCAGAGGCCAGCAGGUUUGGGCGUUUAGCUGUUAACUAAAAUUUUACGGGAUCGAAGCCCGUCUGUCUAG